rnacentral:rRNA from 1 species
AUACGUAGGGGGCGAGCGUUGUCCGGAAUGAUUGGGCGUAAAGGGCGCGUAGGCGGCUUUGCAAGUCAGUAGUGGAAGUCCAUUUUUCAAGGAUGGAAGUGCUACAGAAACUGCGGAGCUUGAGUGCAGGAGAGGUUAUCGGAAUUCCCGGUGUAGCGGUGAAAUGCGUAGAGAUCGGGAGGAACACCAGUGGCGAAGGCGAGUAACUGGACUGCAACUGACGCUGAGGCGCGAAAGUGUGGGGAGCAAACAGGAUUAGAUACCCUGGUAGUCCACACUGUAAACGAUGAAUGCUAGGUGUAGGAGGUAUCGACCCCUUCUGUGCCGCAGUAAACACAGUAAGCAUUCCGCCUGGGGAGUACGGUCGCAAGAUUAAAACUCAAAUGAAUCGACGGGG